CAGAUUCAACAUAAUUGUUGCAUAUUCAUGAUAUUUUGCACAGUAUGAUAUUGAGGUGAGUUGAAAAUGGUUAUUUAAAUUGAAUUGAUAUAAUUUAUAUUGAUUAUCAAGAUAAAGGAUAAAAUUGAAUAGAAUGAAAAAUAGCAUAACUUAUGAUUUAUGAUAUUUGGUAUGAAAUUGAGUUGAAACAUGAUAUAUGAAUUGAUGAAUUGAUGAUAUAUUGAGAUUGAUAGAAUGUGAAUUGAACUAUAUGAUGAAUUGGAUAAUGGGUUACCCUAUUAACUGUUUAGAUAGAAUCGAAUAAAAU
rnacentral:lncRNA from 1 species